GCUCGGGAGACGCGCUCCUGGGCACCCGGGGGGCAGUGCGCCUGCAUCUUCUGGUGGAGAGAGAUCUUGACAGGACCCCGGGUUCCCGGUGGUGAUUGUGUUCUGUUUUCCGUGUCAGUGACGGUGGUAGGUUACAUUUUUUUAUUUUUAUUUUUAUUUUUUUUCAGGCUCAUCAUGAUUUUUUUUUCUUCCCCUCCGUUACAGAUCUAAGCCAACCUGACGGAUGGUCCAGGAAGGCAGGAUCCAGAUGUGCAAACCCCACGUGCACACCGAGGCAGAGAUCAUCAGCGGUCAGAUGCAGCUGUGGUGUAACUGACCACGUUCCUGGAAACCUCAUUCUGUUAUGGUCUUGCCGGGAAGAAAGGUGACUGUAAAACUGGAAAUAGAUUCUGAUGACCAGUUUUAGGUUUUAAGUAGAAUGACUUAAGAAGAAUUCAUUAUCUCCAGGCAUUUAAAAAUUUUUUUAAUUUAUUUAGAUUUUUUUUUUUUUUUUUGGCAAGGCGUUAGUCUUCGGUGCAUGACACAUGUUGCUGUCCACUUUCUGUUGUGUCACAGAAGCGAGCGGUGUCUUUUUGUUGGAGUUGAAAUGUUGUCUGCUCAGGACUUCCAGUGUGCUGCCGGGCUGUAUAAAUUACUUUUAAUGUGUUGCGGUGGAUGGUGGAUGUCAUCAAUCUUUUUUUUUAAUUAGCAAAGCUUAGUAGAUAAAUGGCAUCCGAGUUUCCAACUGGGAGGGGAGGUAUAGCUAGCACAGUGGUGAGAGAGGAAGGUGAUGCCCACUUGCAACACUUCCCAUAGAACUCUGACGGGGGGAGAGUGAAUUGCAGAGAUACUUUGCUAUGUUUGUGAGAAAGAGGAGAAUCUUAGAAAAUAACCAGAGGAUCAUUUUGUUCGUUCUACAGGUCAUGGGGAGUCUUAUACUUGGUUAUUUUUCUGACACAUGUUGGCUAACCUAAUGGGAAUUGAUUUGUAAUCUGACUGCCUUGAAUCUCUUGCAUUUUAAAUUUAUUACAAUGCAUUAAGAAAUAACUGAUGACUCCACUUCAGCAUGUUUAUGUUUUGAGCUCACAAAUUUAGAAUUUUAAAGUAAGUUCAGGUAAUGCAUGUAUCGUGGUAUAUUCAUGCUGAACCCCAUCUUUAUCAUCUAAGUUUCCCCCCCAAAUGCCAGUGUAGCUGAAUAGCUGAGGUGUUCUUUUGUGGGUUUUUUUUUUUCCUCUGGUAGAAAAAUCUAAAGUAAUUAAAAUUAACUGAUUUUUAUCAUCUUGGAAACUUGGGUUGUGAAGUUCUGUUCAACUUACAAAUCUUUUAAGCAUUUGGAGAUCAAACACAUUUGUCAUAACAAGGAAAUUACUUCUCUUAACGUAGAACUCUAAGGGACUUGAAAAACGUGUUUUGAACAACUUGUUCCUUGAACAUGACGUGGCUUUAUAGAUAAUGCUUUGAAUUUUUUAAGGAAUUAACAUGUGUUUGUGCUGGCUGCACCCAUUUAUGCAAUCCGUCUAGUGACCAAAAACUUGUUUAUAUGAUGUGUAUCUGGGGUUAGGGAUAUGGUGCAUAAUCUUAGCAUUUCAAUGUCUUUCUCUUUAUAAAGCUUGACUUGUA